GGGCGUGUGGCUCAGUUGGUAGAGCGCCCGCUUAGCAUAAUCCCGACCCUGGAUAUACGACAUGCGGAAGGUCCCCGGUUCGAUUCCGGGCUCGUCCA